GACCGCUCUGGUGGCCUAGUGGUUAGAGCACGCGCUUUGGAUGCGUAAGGUCGUUUGUUCGAAACCCAGCUAAGUCA